rnacentral:rRNA from 1 species
GGUUAAGCGACCAAGCGUACACGGUGGAUGCCCUGGCAGUCAGAGGCGAUGAAGGACGUGCUAAUCUGCGAAAAGCGCCGGCGAGGUGAUAUGAACCCGUUGACCCGGCGAUGUCCGAAUGGGGAAACCCAGUGUGACUCGUCACACUAUCAUUAACUGAAUCCAUAGGUUAAUGAGGCGAACCGGGGGAACUGAAACAUCUAAGUACCCCGAGGAAAAGAAAUCAACCGAGAUUCCCCCAGUAGCGGCGAGCGAACGGGGAGGAGCCCAGAGCCUGAAUCAGCAGGUGUGUUAGUGGAAGCGUCUGGAAAGGCACGCGAUACAGGGUGAGAGCCCCGUACACGAAAAUGCACCUGCUGUGAGCUCGAUGAGUAGGGCGGGACACGUGGUAUCCUGUCUGAAUAUGGGGGGACCAUCCUCCAAGGCUAAAUACUCCUGACUGACCGAUAGUGAACCAGUACCGUGAGGGAAAGGCGAAAAGAACCCCGGCGAGGGGAGUGAAAAAGAACCUGAAACCGUGUACGUACAAGCAGUGGGAGCACAGGUUUACCUGUGUGACUGCGUACCUUUUGUAUAAUGGGUCAGCGACUUAUAUUCUGUAGCAAGGUUAACCGAAUAGGGGAGCCGGAGGGAAACCGAGUCUUAACUGGGCGUUAAGUUGCAGGGUAUAGACCCGAAACCCGGUGAUCUAGCCAUGGGCAGGUUGAAGGUUGGGUAACACUAACUGGAGGACCGAACCGACUAAUGUUGAAAAAUUAGCGGAUGACCUGUGGCUGGGGGUGAAAGGCCAAUCAAACCGGGAGAUAGCUGGUUCUCCCCGAAAGCUAUUUAGGUAGCGCCUCGUGAACUCAUCUCCGGGGGUAGAGCACUGUUUCGGCUAGGGGGCCAUCCCGGCUUACCAACCCGAUGCAAACUGCGAAUACCGGAGAAUGUUAUCACGGGAGACACACGGCGGGUGCUAACGUCCGUCGUGAAGAGGGAAACAACCCAGACCGCCAGCUAAGGUCCCAAAGUCAUGGUUAAGUGGGAAACGAUGUGGGAAGGCCCAGACAGCCAGGAUGUUGGCUUAGAAGCAGCCAAMAUUUAAAGAAAGCGUAAUAGCUCACUGGUCGAGUCGGCCNVMVCGGAAGAUGUAACGGGGCAAAACCAUGCACCGAAGCUGCGGCAGCGGCACGCAAGUGUUGUUGGGUAGGGGAGCGUUCUGUAAGCCGUUGAAGGUGUGCUGUGAGGCAUGCUGGAGGUAUCAGAAGUGCGAAUGCUGACAUAAGUAACGAUAAAGCGGGUGAAAAGCCCGCUCGCCGGAAGACCAAGGGUUCCUGUCCAACGUUAAUCGGGGCAGGGUGAGUCGACCCCUAAGGCGAGGCCGAAAGGCGUAGUCGAUGGGAAACGGGUUAAUAUUCCCGUACUUGGUGUUACUGCGAAGGGGGGACGGAGAAGGCUAUGUUGGCCGGGCGACGGUUGUCCCGGUUUAAGCGUGUAGGCUGGUUUUCCAGGCAAAUCCGGAAAAUCAAGGCUGAGGCGUGACGACGAGGCACCACGGUGCUGAAGCAACAAAUGCCCUGCUUCCAGGAAAAGCCUCUAAGCGUCAGGUAACAUCAAAUCGUACCCCAAACCGACACAGGUGGUCAGGUAGAGAAUACCAAGGCGCUUGAGAGAACUCGGGUGAAGGAACUAGGCAAAAUGGUGCCGUAACUUCGGGAGAAGGCACGCUGACAUGUAGGUGAAGCGGUUUACCCGUGGAGCUGAAGUCAGUCGAAGAUACCAGCUGGCUGCAACUGUUUAUUAAAAACACAGCACUGUGCAAACACGAAAGUGGACGUAUACGGUGUGACGCCUGCCCGGUGCCGGAAGGUUAAUUGAUGGGGUCAGCGCAAGCGAAGCUCCUGAUCGAAGCCCCGGUAAACGGCGGCCGUAACUAUAACGGUCCUAAGGUAGCGAAAUUCCUUGUCGGGUAAGUUCCGACCUGCACGAAUGGCGUAAUGAUGGCCAGGCUGUCUCCACCCGAGACUCAGUGAAAUUGAACUCGCUGUGAAGAUGCAGUGUACCCGCGGCAAGACGGAAAGACCCCGUGAACCUUUACUAUAGCUUGACACUGAACACUGGUCCUUGAUGUGCAGGAUAGGUGGGAGGCUUUGAAGCGUGGACGCCAGUCUGCGUGGAGCCGUCCUUGAAAUACCACCCUUUAAUGGCUGGUGUUCUAACGUGGGCCCGUGAACCGGGUUGCGGACAGUGUCUGGUGGGUAGUUUGACUGGGGCGGUCUCCUCCCAAAGAGUAACGGAGGAGCACGAAGGUUGGCUAAUCCUGGUCGGACAUCAGGAGGUUAGUGCAAUGGCAUAAGCCAGCUUGACUGCGAGCGUGACGGCGCGAGCAGGUGCGAAAGCAGGUCAUAGUGAUCCGGUGGUUCUGAAUGGAAGGGCCAUCGCUCAACGGAUAAAAGGUACUCCGGGGAUAACAGGCUGAUACCGCCCAAGAGUUCAUAUCGACGGCGGUGUUUGGCACCUCGAUGUCGGCUCAUCACAUCCUGGGGCUGAAGUAGGUCCCAAGGGUAUGGCUGUUCGCCAUUUAAAGUGGUACGCGAGCUGGGUUUAGAACGUCGUGAGACAGUUCGGUCCCUAUCUGCCGUGGGCGCUGGAAGAUUGAGGGGGGCUGCUCCUAGUACGAGAGGACCGGAGUGGACGCAUCACUGGUGUUCGGGUUGUCAUGCCAAUGGCACUGCCCGGUAGCUAAAUGCGGAAGAGAUAAGUGCUGAAAGCAUCUAAGCACGAAACUUGCCCCGAGAUGAAUCUUCCCUGAGACUUUAAGUCUCCUGAAGGAACGUUGAAGACGACGAGGUUGAUAGGCCGGGUGUGUAAGCGCAGCUUUGCGUUGAGCUAACCGGUACUAAUGAACCGUGAGGCUUAACCUU